rnacentral:tRNA from 2 species
GCCGCGGUGCCCGAGCGGACAAGGGGUAUGGCUCGAGACCAUAUCCCCGAAAGGGGGCGUGGGUUCAAAUCCCACCCGCGGCG